rnacentral:misc_RNA from 1 species
UCUCCGUAGGUGAACCUGCGGAGGGAUCAUUACUGAGUGAGGGCUUCGGUCCGACCUCCAACCCUUUGUGAACCUAUACCUAUCUGUUGCCUCGGCGCAGGCUGGGAGCUUCUGUAAACUCCCCCCCGCGGACUCACCUCUGCGCGGAGCAGGCCCGCCGGCGGCCCCACCAAACUCUUGUUUUUAGUGUCUCUUCUGAGUUAAACAAACAAAUGAAUCAAAACUUUCAACAACGGAUCUCUUGGUUCUGGCAUCGAUGAAGAACGCAGC